rnacentral:rRNA from 1 species
GACGAACGCUGGCGGCGUGCUUAACACAUGCAAGUCGAACGCUGAAGCUCAGCUUUUGUUGGGUGGAUGAGUGGCGAACGGGUGAGUAACACGUGAGUAACCUGCCCCCUUCUUUGGGAUAACGCCCGGAAACGGGUGCUAAUACUGGAUAUUCACUGGUCUUCGCAUGGGGGUUGGUGGAAAGGGUUUUUCUGGUGGGGGAUGGGCUCGCGGCCUAUCAGCUUGUUGGUGGGGUGAUGGCCUACCAAGGCUUUGACGGGUAGCCGGCCUGAGAGGGUGACCGGUCGCAUUGGGACUGAGAUACGGCCCAGACUCCUACGGGAGGCAGCAGUGGGGAAUAUUGCACAAUGGGCGCAAGCCUGAUGCAGCGACGCCGCGUGAGGGAUGGCGGCCUUCGGGUUGUGAACCUCUUUCGCUCAUGGUCAAGCCGCAACAAUGGUUGUGGUGAGGGUAGUGGGUAAAGAAGCGCCGGCUAACUACGUG